rnacentral:rRNA from 1 species
GUCAGAUGUGAAAUCCCGGGGCUCAACCCCGGAACUGCAUCCGAUACUGCCGUGCUAGAGGAUUGGAGAGGUAGCUGGAAUUCUUGGUGUAGCAGUGAAAUGCGUGGAGAUCAAGAGGAACACUCGUGGCGAAAGCGAGCUACUGGACAAUAUCUGACGCUGAGGCUCGAAGGCCAGGGUAGCGAAAGGG